UCCCUACCACUACCGUCCCAGAGGAGGCACACACGCCGGCGUACGGAGCCAUCACCAACCGCUCCUCCGCUCCUCUUGCUCACCAACGCCCACGCGAUGCCGCCUGGAUCGGAGGAAUCGAAGGUCACUGCUCCGCCAUGUUCCGUUUCGGAGCCGAAACAACAAGCAUCCGUGGCUGCUCCGCAACCAGAGGCCAAAGGUGCCACAUGAAUGGCAGGGGAGCUGAAGGCCGCCGGCGCCGGCUGCCCCGGUGUGAGAGGAAACAGGCGGGUUCUCGGGGAAACCCUCAACGUCGUCGAUGGCCUAUGUCCUCAGCGAGGAAGGAAAUCAGCACAAUGAUCAAAUACACGAUCUGUUCCAGACCACCCGGUGCGCUCCCUUCACAAGGAUCGAACCUCGCGGCGGUGAGCGAUGGCAGCAGCUCUACCGUCCUGGUCCGCUCCUCUCAUCGUCCCAUGCGGCUUCGAGGUCACUACGUUCGGCCGUCGGUCCCCCGCGAACAACAUCAUCCACGUUCUCACCGACACACGGGGUUCAACAUGGCGCUCGAGACCUCCAGCAUCGUGGAUGACUUCCAGGCCGAUGAGCGCGGCACCGGCAUCACCAUCUUCGUCCCCAUUGACGACGCCCUCGCCAGCCUCCCUCCCGGUGCUGCGAUUCCACGUGCUGCACUCCUACUACCGGCUUGGCUCCCUCGAGUCCAUCAAGAACCCCGUCCAGCCCACGUCCUCACCGAAGUGCACCGUGGCCGGCUGCUUCGUCCCUCCAGUUCUAGGUGGAGCAAACAUAAAUGUCAGGGUCGAUGUCGACGGAGCCGUUGAAUCGUGUGAUGUUGAUCCUGAAGCAGCCGGGCUUCGCAAUUGUGAUGCUGGACGCUGCAAAGGUGAGAACGUCAUAGCCGGAGUUCGAGUUUGAGACGCAGAGGAGAGGACGCCAUAGCCAAAGUUGAAGACGCAAAGCAGAGGAUGAGAUGAUUCGGAGGAGCCAGGGUUAAGCACGCCGACAAUGAUCCAAGCAUCUUUGCUAUUUACCAUUUCCAGGUUGAUUGGUAAUGCAUGCCAAUUACUAUUUGCAGGUUAGGUACUUUCACUAAUUGGAAUAGAAAUGGUGACAGCUGGUGAGCAGGACCGACAAUGGAUUGAUUAGUGUCACCAUCCUUUGGUUCUGAAGCAAUUCUUGAGGCGUCUCCGACCAGAACAAUAUGGUGCCUACCAAGUAUUGUCUACCGAGAUGCCAUGUUACUAGACAAAUAUAACACUAGGAUUAUCUCCAGUCAUGGGUUGCAGCUUCUACCAUGACCCACUGAACAAAAAUUAGCCAUGUUACUAGGCAAGUAUAAACACUGGGAUUAUCUCCAGUCAUGUGUUGCAGCUUCUACCAUGUUCCAGUGAACCAAAAUGAGCACAAUCAUUAAUUGAUGAUACUUUCAUAGAUCAAUAAUUUAUGUCCUUGAUUCUGCACUGAUUUAGUCAUAUUCUUUUUUUCUAAUAGCAAUCCCAACUUUUUAGCUGAGCCCCACUACAUUUUUAUCCUGAAUCUCCAUCAUCGAUUACUUCUUCAAAGAUUUAUUGCAUUUAUGGGGAAAAACACUACAUUUUAAUUCUAUUAACCAUAGAUUAAUCCACUUCAAUUAGUAACAACAUCCCAAGCUGAAACUGUUGCGAUUUGGUCUGGGACCAGAGUCCCAUUUUUUAUCCACAAUGGAUUCAUUGAUUAUUACUUCUAUUCCACAGUUUCAGUUCAUAUGUGAGGACUGCCCUACGCUCAAGCAACGAGUUACGACAUGGAUGGAGUGUAGGAUGAAGUUUAGGUAAUUAUUUGGCAAUGCAAAAUGAGUACGUUUGUCAUGUUGAUAUGGCUUCCAUUUCCCACAUUGUUGUCUUUGACAACAUAUUUAGGCGUUGCAUGAAUAUAUAAGUGAUGGUUAGAGUAAUUGUGUGGAGAAAUAGAGUUGCAUUGAUUUUUCUGUGUCCAAACCCUCUUAUAACAUUUGGUGAUAUUUUAGGAUGCUGGGUAAAAUGUAACACCCCGGAUGUAACUUACCCAAUUUGUAUUCCAACUCUUGCCG